CAUUUCGUCAAAGGGGAGUAGCUAUAAACGAUACUUAUCGUUUACUUUACGUUCGUCAUUACGUGAUACUAUCACCGGACGUAAUAACAUUAACUUGUUUAGCAAGACCUUUGCCUAUUAC
rnacentral:misc_RNA from 1 species